rnacentral:rRNA from 1 species
GAGUUUGAUCAUGGCUCAGAUUGAACGCUGGCGGCAUGCUUUACACAUGCAAGUCGAGCGAACCCUUCCGGAAGCUUGCUUUUGGAAACGGUUAGCGGCGAACGGGUGAGUAACACGUGGGUAAUCUGCCCCGAAGACUGGGAUAACUCCGGGAAACUGGAGCUAAUACCGGAUACCUUGCCUUUCCCAUAAGGCAUCGGCAAGAAAGGUUGACUUGUCUUCCACUUCGGGAUGAGCCCGCGGCCCAUUAGCUUGUUGGCGGGGUAAUGGCCCACCAAGGCGACGAUGGGUAGCCGGCCUGAGAGGGUGUACGGCCACACUGGGACUGAGACACGGCCCAGACUCCUACGGGAGGCAGCAGUGAGGAAUUCUGCGCAAUGGGCGAAAGCCUGACGCAGCGACGCCGCGUGGACGAUGAAGGCCUUCGGGUUGUAAAGUCCUGUCAGGAGGGACGAAGCGGUUCACCCCGUGACGGUACCUCCAGAGGAAGCCCCGGCUAACUACGUGCCAGCAGCCGCGGUAAGACGUAGGGGGCAAGCGUUGUCCGGAGUUACUGGGCGUAAAGAGCUCGUA